rnacentral:rRNA from 1 species
UGGNUUAACUGGGGGCUUGCGGUGGGUACGGNCCGGCUUGAGUGCGGUAGGGGAGACUGGAACUCCUGGUGUAGCGGUGGAAUGCGCAGAUAUCAGGAAGAACACCGGUGGCGAAGGCGGGUCUCUGGGCCGUUACUGACGCUGAGGAGCGAAAGCGUGGGGAGCGAACAGGAUUAGAUACCCUGGUAGUCCACGCCGUAAACGUUGGGCACUAGGUGUGGGGGGCCUUUUCCGGGUCUUCCGCGCCGUAGCUAACGCAUUAAGUGCCCCGCCUGGGGAGUACGGCCGCAAGGCUAAAACUCAAAGGAAUUGACGGGGGCCCGCACAAGCGGCGGAGCAUGCGGAUUAAUUCGAUGCAACGCGAAGAACCUUACCAAGGCUUGACAUGUGCCGGUCGGCUCCGGAGACGGGGUUUCCUCCUUGUGGGGCCGGUUCACAGGUGGUGCAUGGUUGUCGUCAGCUCGUGUCGUGAGAUGUUGGGUUAAGUCCCGCAACGAGCGCAACCCUUGUCCCGUGUUGCCAGCACGUUGUGGUGGGGACUCGCGGGAGACUGCCGGAGUCAACUCGGAGGAAGGUGGGGAUGACGUCAAAUCAUCAUGCCCCUUAUGUCUUGGGCUUCACGCAUGCUACAAUGGCCGGUACAGAGGGCUGCGAUACCGUGAGGUGGAGCGAAUCCCUUAAAGCCGGUCUCAGUUCGGAUCGGUGUCUGCAACUCGACACCGUGAAGUUGGAGUCGCUAGUAAUCGCAGAUCAGCAACGCUGCGGUGAAUACGUUCUCGGGCCUUGUACACAUCGCCCGUCACGUCAUGAAAGUCGGCAACACCCGAAGCCCGUGGCCCUACGGGGAGCG